CAGCCGCCGCGGGAAUACGUAGGUGGCAAGCGUUGUCCGGAAUUAUUGGGCGUAAAGGGCUCGCAGGCGGUUUCUUAAGUCUGAUGUGAAAGCCCCCGGCUCAACCGGGGAGGGUCAUUGGAAACUUGGAAACUUGAGUGCAGAAGAUGAGAGUGGAAUUCCACGUGUAGCGGUGAAAUGCGUAGAGAUGUGGAGGAACACCAGUGGCGAAGGCGACUCUCUGGUCUGUAACUGACGCUGAGGAGCGAAAGCGUGGGGAGCGAACAGGAUUAGAUACCCCUGUAGUCCCUGUCCCUUAUAC
rnacentral:rRNA from 1 species